UACGUAGGGGGCGAGCGUUGUCCGGAUUCAUUGGGCGUAAAGAGCUCGUAGGCGGUUUGGUAAGUCGGGUGGGAAAACCCCAGGCUCAACCUGGGGACGCCACCUGAUACUGCUAUGACUUGAGUCUGGUAGGGGACCACGGAAUUCCUGGUGUAGCGGUGAAAUGCGCAGAUAUCAGGAGGAACACCGGUGGCGAAGGCGGUGGUCUGGGCCAGUACUGACGCUGAGGAGCGAAAGCGUGGGUAGCAAACAGG
rnacentral:rRNA from 1 species